UGCAAGUCGAGCGAAUGACGAGGAGCUUGCUCCUCUGAUUUAGCGGCGGACGGGUGAGUAACACGUGGGCAACCUGCCCUGCAGACUGGGAUAACUUCGGGAAACCGGAGCUAAUACCGGAUAAUCCAUUUUACUUCAUGGUGAAAUGUUGAAAGGCGCUUUCGCGCCACUGCAGGAUGGGCCCGCGGUGCAUUAGCUAGUUGGUGGGGUAACGGCCUACCAAGGCGACGAUGCAUAGCCGACCUGAGAGGGUGAUCGGCCACAUUGGGACUGAGACACGGCCCAAACUCCUACGGGAGGCAGCAGUAGGGAAUCUUCCACAAUGGACGAAAGUCUGAUGGAGCAACGCCGCGUGAGUGAUGAAGGUUUUCGGAUCGUAAAACUCUGUUGUAAGGGAAGAACAAGUACGUUAGGAAAUGAACGUACCUUGACGGUACCUUAUUAGAAAGCCACGGCUAACUACGUGCCAGCAGCCGCGGUAAUACGUAGGUGGCAAGCGUUGUCCGGAUUUAUUGGGCGUAAAGCGCGCGCAGGUGGUUUCUUAAGUCUGAUGUGAAAUCUCGCGGCUCAACCGCGAGCGGUCAUUGGAAACUGGGGAACUUGAGUGCAGAAGAGGAUAGUGGAAUUCCAAGUGUAGCGGUGAAAUGCGUAGAGAUUUGGAGGAACACCAGUGGCGAAGGCGACUGUCUGGUCUGUAACUGACACUGAGGCGCGAAAGCGUGGGGAGCAAACAGGAUUAGAUACCCUGGUAGUCCACGCCGUAAACGAUGAGUGCUAAGUGUUAGGGGGUUUCCGCCCCUUAGUGCUGCAGCUAACGCAUUAAG
rnacentral:rRNA from 1 species